rnacentral:SRP_RNA from 1 species
AGUGGAUCCCGCGAGAGGAAGCCGUGAACCGGGUCAGGCCUGAAAUACGGAGCAGCUCUAAGCGGGGUACCUUUGUGCGGGAUCCUCUUCC